rnacentral:rRNA from 1 species
GACGAACCGUGCGAACGUUGUUCGGAAUCACUGGGCUUAAAGGGCGCGUAGGCGGGACUGAAAGUCAGGGGUGAAAGCCCCCAGCUCAACUGGGGAAGUGCCUCUGAUACUUCAGUCCUCGAGGGAGGUAGGGGCGUGCGGAACUUCCGGUGGAGCGGUGAAAUGCGUAGAGAUCGGGAGGAACACCAGUGGCGAAGGCGGCCUUCUGGACCAGUACUGACGCUCAUGCACGAAAGCGUGGGGAGCAAACAGG